UACGGAGGGAGCUAGCGUUGUUCGGAAUUACUGGGCGUAAAGCGCACGUAGGCGGCUUUUUAAGUCAGGGGUGAAAUCCCGGGGCUCAACCCCGGAACUGCCCUUGAAACUGGAGAGCUAGAAUCUUGGAGGGGCGAGUGGAAUUCCGAGUGUAGAGGUGAAAUUCGUAGAUAUUCGGAAGAACACCAGUGGCGAAGGCGACUCGCUGGACAAGUAUUGACGCUGAGGUGCGAAAGCGUGGGGAGCAAACAGG
rnacentral:rRNA from 1 species